CCUACGGGGAGCUGCAGUGAGGAAUAUUGGUCAAUGGACGAGAGUCUGAACCAGCCAAGUAGCGUGAAGGAUGACUGCCCUAUGGGUUGUAAACUUCUUUUAUAAAGGAAUAAAACGAGGCACGUGUGCCUUUUUGCAUGUACUUUAUGAAUAAGGAUCGGCUAACUCCGUGCCAGCAGCCGCGGUAAUACGGAGGAUCCGAGCGUUAUCCGGAUUUAUUGGGUUUAAAGGGAGCGUAGAUGGGUUGUUAAGUCAGUUGUGAAAGUUUGCGGCUCAACCGUAAAAUUGCAAUUGAUACUGGCAGUCGUGAGUACAGUUGAGGUAGGCGGAAUUCGUGGUGUAGCGGUGAAAUGCUUAGAUAUCACGAAGAACCCCGAUUGCGAAGGCAGCUUACUAAACUGUGACUGACAUUGAUGCUCGAAAGUGUGGGUAUCAAACAGGAUUAGAUACCCCUGUAGUC
rnacentral:rRNA from 1 species